GACGAACGCUGGCGGCGUGCUUAACACAUGCAAGUCGAGCGGUAAGGCCCUUUCGGGGUACACGAGCGGCGAACGGGUGAGUAACACGUGGGUGACCUGCCCUCAGCUCUGGGAUAAGCCUGGGAAACCGGGUCUAAUACUGGAUAUGACUCCAUGACGCAUGUUGUGGGGUGGAAAGCCUUGUGCGGCUGAGGAUGGGCCCGCGGCCUAUCAGCUUGUUGGNGGGGUNAGGGCCUACCAAGGCGACGACGGGUAGCCGGCCUGAGAGGGCGACCGGCCACACUGGGACUGAGACACGGCCCAGACUCCUACGGGAGGCAGCAGGUGGGGAAUCUUGCGCAAUGGGCGAAAGCCUGACGCAGCGACGCCGCGUGAGGGAUGACGGCCUGGU
rnacentral:rRNA from 1 species